rnacentral:tRNA from 1 species
GCAGCUCAGUGGUAGAGCAUGUGUUUAACACACACAAGACCCUGGGUUCCAUCCCCACACUGCA